UACGGAGGAGGCAAGCGUUAUCCGGAAUUAUUGGGCGUAAAGAGCGCGCAGGCGGUCGUUCAAGUCGCGUGUGAAAGCCCCCGGCUCAACUGGGGAGGGUCACGCGAUACUGAUCGACUCGAAGGCAGGAGAGGGUAGUGGAAUUCCCGGUGUAGUGGUGAAAUGCGUAGAUAUCGGGAGGAACACCAGUGGCGAAGGCGACUACCUGGCCUGUUCUUGACGCUGAGGCGCGAAAGCUAGGGGAGCAAACAGG
rnacentral:rRNA from 1 species